GGAGGCGGGGCGCCUGUGGGAGUCGUGGAGGGAACUUUCCCAGGCCCCGAGGCGGAUCGGGUAUUGAGUCCAUGGAGCGAGCUGAGAGCUAGAGUACAGAACCUGCUAAGGCCAUCAAACCUAUCGAUCGGAAGUCAGUCCAUCAGAUUUGCUCUGGGCCGGUGGUACUGAGUCUAAGCACUGCGGUGAAGGAGUUAGUAGAAAACAGUCUGGAUGCUGGUGCCACCAAUAUUGCGAUGUCACCAUUUCUACCUGCCACGCAUCGGCGAAGGUUGGGACUCGACUGGUGUUUGAUCACGAUGGGAAAAUCAUCCAGAAAACCCCCUACCCCCACCCCAGAGGGACCACAGUCAGCGUGAAGCAGUUAUUUUCUACACUACCUGUGCACCAUAAGGAAUUUCAAAGGAAUAUUAAGAAGACGUGCCUGUUUCCCCUUCGCCUUCUGCCGUGAUUGUCAGUUUCCUGAGGCCUCCCCAGCCAUGCUUCCUGUACAGCCUGCAGAACUGUGAGUCAAUUAAACCUCUUUUCUUCAUAAAUUA
ensembl:lncRNA PMS2P4 PMS1 homolog 2, mismatch repair system component pseudogene 4